GUCUUAGAGAGUAGAGAAGAGCAGCUCUGACCAGAUCAUCUUCAUCAUAAAUCAUGUUCUCUACAUCUCUUCUCAUGUUGCUGUUGGCAGCUGCCUCCUGUGUCCACUGUCAGGUCGUUCUCACACAGGCUGAACAGUCGGUCCAGGGGACCCCUGGGGGACCCUCAAACUGACAUGUGCCUGUAGUGGAUUCACCCUGAAAGACUGGAUAAUGCACUGGGUCCGCCAGGCUCCUGGACAGGGAUUACAAUGGAUCCUUCACUAUUAUACUAGCAGUGACAAUGGUUAUUCGCCUGCAGUACAGGGCCGUUUCACUGCAUCGAAGGACAGCACAAAUUUCUAUCUACACAUGAACCAGUUAAAGCCAGAGGACUCUGCAGUGUAUUACUGUGCUAGAGACUCACAGUGGUAA